GGGAUUCCGACGAAGUGAUGCCUCAUUUCCUCUGGAAACACAACAGGGAGCUGUAUAAAAGGCCCACCACCCCAGACCUCUCCAUUCAAUCGCUGGGUUCCUCAACCACACAAGUCUCCAUUCACCACUGAACAAGGCUACCUUCCACUCGCAAAGAUGGGUAAUUGCAAUGCGUGCGGUGGCUAUUCAGACGAAGGACCAGACGUCAUUUGCAUCCCCUGCGGUGGUGGCAACAACGGUUGCAACUCGUGCUGUUCUCCCAUGACCUACUCUUCCUCCAUGAGCUAUGGUGGUUGCCAGUGCUAUGGCUGUGGCGGCUGUGGCGGCUGCAAUGGUGGCGGCUGCAAUGGCGGCUGCUCUGUCUACGUAAUCUCUAAUGGAAGAAGGUCCUCCUGCUGUGGCAUGUGAUACUUUGGACAUUCAACUCAGCCCAUAGCAACAACAGGACCUGUCCAACUUCUGGAAUAACCUCAACACCUUCAACGUUCCUUUGAAGACCUGUUGGUUGACCUCCCGUUGUCCUCUUUGCUUGCUCAAAAAUAGUUAAGUUUUCCACCUGCUUCUAAUAAUAAUGCCCUUUAUCUUCUUCUCUUUGUAAGAGAUUUUUCCCCAACAAGUCCUAAGCAAAGGAGGCAUGGCCAUUGCAUAGACUUGGAUGGGUAUGGUUUCCUUUGUUCCCCAUCUUUCUGAGCUAUGGGAUUGUCUUGUCCUUCACACUGUUGCAUGAAUAAUAAACAUAAUAAAAAUUGGUUGGUUGACCUCCCAUUCUCCUCUUUGCUAACUCAAAACCUGUUAAGCUUUCCACCUGCCUCUUCUGAUAAUGCUCUCAUUAUCUUCUUCUCUUUGGAGGAGUUUUCUUCCCUGAACAAAUCCUCAUAAGCAAAGGAGGCAUGACUAUUGCGUAGAAUUUGAUGGGUAGGCGUUCCUUUCACCCCGUCUUUCUGGGCUAUGGAAUUGUCUUGUAGUUUGUACUGCUGCAUGGAUAAUAAUAAUAAAAAUGGAUCUAAUAUA